GGGGGCCUCUGCUAGUGUGCGACUUGUGUCUUGGACUGACUUUGCAGCGGAUUCUUGUAAUUCUGUGCACGUUCAAGUUUCCACCUUCCAUGCGUGUGAUAUCACUGAGGGAUGUGCCACCUCCACCCCGCACGCCCACCACUGCCACCCUGCUGCUGAAGAGAUUUGUCACCCACUCCGGUCUCUACUGGCGCCCAGAAGCUCUGUCGGUAAACCAAUAUAGAAUCAUCCCACUGUCGUCCUCGCUACUGUGUUUUUCCAUCUCAGCUCCUCCAUGUACGUUUCACAUUCCUCGGGAAAACAAGUUCCAGGAUUCCCAGCUUGAAGCCUUUUGAAAGCUGACCAUGUCCAUGCCAUUCACCGUGCUUGUCUUGGAGGACACACAAGGAUGCUGUGACCAACUGCCGUG